UCGUCUGUUGUGUAGACUAGAAUAAAGAGGAAAUCUUCUGAGACAUGUCAUGUGAAAUAUGACUGUAAGUCUGUAACAUGACUCAGAACGUCACAGGCGGAAGGUCAUGGAGCAAUAGAACGGAAGCGAGAGUAAUAGCACAUCCGCCGUUGUGGAAUAGUGUAUUCCAAUCGGGCAUUAGGCAGUUUCAGAGUGAGUGAUAUAUUUUAGCCGAACGUCAAUUAGAUUGGAAACAUAUAGGCUAUACAAAGGCAGAUACAAAGAAGCAAUCCUCGGCGCUCGAGAAAAGAUUGUAGCGAUCUGACGACUGGAGAAAAACACCGCCUCUACAUACACAGAGAGAUUGGAUAACCCGAGACGAGCCGAGAAAAAAAUAUCGGAGUGCAGAAGCAGGAGAAACCGUGGACAGUCACAAACCGCAUUCCGUUUCGGCUCCUGGAGGAUGUCUGGAACCACCGUCGAUCAGAGACCCAAAGGACAAGGAAAUAAAGUACAAAACGGAUCAAUGCAUCAGAAGGAGGGAGUAAACGAUGAAGACUUUGAACCUUACCUAAGCAGCCAGACAAAUCAGAAUAACAGCUACCCACCAAUGUCCGACCCCUACAUACCCAGCUACUAUGCUCCUUCCAUCGGCUUCCCUUACUCCCUGGGGGAGGCCCCCUGGUCCACUGCGGGGGACCCCCCCAUGCCCUACCUGACCACCUAUGGACAGAUGAGCAAUGGCGAGCACCACUUUAUCCCCGACGGGGUGUUCAGCCAGCCGGGCGCCCUGGGCAACACCCCUCCAUUCCUCAGCCAGCACGGCUUCAACUUCUUCCCUGGAAACGCAGACUAUUCCACCUGGGGCACCAGUGUCUCUCAGGGCCAGUCCACACAGAGCAAUGCCUAUAGUAAUAGUUAUGGUUACACCCCUAGUUCCCUGGGGAGGGCUAUAGCUGAUGGACAGGCAGGCUUCAGCAGUGACGCCCAGAUCAGUAAGGUCCCGGUACUGAGCAGCAUCGAGCAGGGCAUGACUGGGUUAAAACUGGACAUGGGCGCCGCCGUCACCAAGACUGUCGGCUCGCCCCUUGGGGGCACGUUGGGCAUGAGUAGCAUGGCGGCCAAUAACAUCCCUCCAUUGGUUAGUUCCUCUGCCCCCAAACCCACGUCCUGGGCAGCCAUUGCCAGGAAGCCGGCCAAGCCCCAACCCAAGGUCAAGCCCAAAGCCAACAUGGGGAUGGGAGCCCCUGCCAUUCCCCCGCCGCCCAUAAAGCACAACAUGAACAUUGGCACCUGGGACGAUAAGGGCUCCGUCAACAAGCCCCCCUUAGCUCAGGCCAUGAUGCAACCUCAGACCAUGGUGCAGCAGACCCUGAUGGGCCAGCCCCAGCCCCUGCUGCAGAGCCCUCUGCCCCACCAGCACCAACACCAGCACCAACAUCAGCACCAGCAGCACCACCAACCCUUUCAGCUGCAGUCCCUCCAGUCUCCCCAACACCCCCAGCAGAUGCCUCCAGGCCCCCCUCACCACCACCAACACACCCACCAGAACUUUUCCUCCCAGCCUGGCCCCCCUCAACCUAUGCAUCAACACCAACAUCCCCAACCCCCACCCCAGAACCGCUGGGUGGCACCCCGGAACAGGGGCACCUUCAACCAAGGAGGGGCGGAAGGCUUUGGGAUGGGUGUUGGUGGGGUCCCCCUCAGUGCCUCUCCCAGCUCCGGGGAGGUGCACCCGGUGUUAGAGAAACUGCGGGCCCUCAACAACUACAACCCCAAAGACUUUGACUGGAACCUGAAGAACGGCCGCGUGUUCAUCAUCAAGAGCUACUCUGAGGACGACAUCCACCGCUCCAUCAAGUACUCCAUCUGGUGCAGCACCGAGCACGGCAACAAGCGCCUGGACGGCGCCUACCGUUCGCUGGGGGCCAAGGGGCCCCUCUACCUGUUGUUCAGCGUCAACGGCAGCGGUCAUUUCUGCGGCGUGGCAGAGAUGCGCUCGCCCGUGGAUUACAACGCCUACGCAGGCGUCUGGUCUCAGGAUAAGUGGAAGGGCAAGUUUGAGGUGAAGUGGGCAUUUGUGAAGGACGUGCCCAACAGCCAGCUGAGGCACAUCAGACUGGAGAACAAUGACAACAAGCCCGUCACCAACUCCAGGGACACUCAAGAGGUGCCGCUGGAAAAGGCCAAGCAAGUGCUUAAAAUUAUUGCCACUUUCAAGCAUACCACCUCAAUCUUUGAUGACUUUGCACAUUACGAGAAGCGCCAGGAGGAGGAAGAGGCCCUGCGGAGGGUGAGAGAACCGUGCUGCUGACACACACAGCCUUUUCCUUUUGGGGACCGGCGAAGUGGCCGCACUUGUCUGAAUUUUCCUUGUUUUACGAUCCUUGUGAGGACUUCUGGUCCCCACAAGGAUAGUAAAACCACACACACACACACACACACACAAACACAGCCCUAUUGUAUCAGCUGGCAGCAGAGUGUGUAUGUGUGUGAGAUGGUCACUCAGACAUACAGUGUAAUACUGGUCAGUGGUCAACAGCGGUUAUCAUCUGGGCUCUCUUAGUUUGUAGGCUUCUUGUCUACUCGAACAAUCCAUUUCUACCAGUGUCAUUAGUCCAAGAUGGUGGGUUCUAUCAGUGUCAUUAGUCCAAGGUGGUGGGUUCUACCAGUGUCAUUAGUCCAAGGUGGUGGGUUCUACCAGUGUCAUUAGUCCAAGGUGGUGGGUUCUACCAGUGUCAUUAGUCCAUGGUAGUGGGUUCUACCAGUGUCACUAGUCCAUGGUAGUGGGUUCUACCAGUGUCACUAGUCCAUGGUAGUGGGUUCUACCAGUGUCACUAGUCCAUGGUAGUGGGUUCUACCAGUGUCACUAGUCCAAGGUGGUGGGUUCUACCAGUGUCACUAGUCCAAGGUGGUGGGUUCUACCAGUGUCAUUAGUCCAAGGUGGUGGGUUCUACCAGUGUCAUUAGUCCAAGGUGGUGGGUUCUACCAGUGUCAUUAGUCCAAGGUGGUGGGUUCUACCAGUGUCAUUAGUCCAAGGUGGUGGGUUCUACCAGUGACAUUUGUCCAAGGUGGUGGGUUUACCAGUGACAUUAGUCCAAGGUGGUGGGUUCUACCAGUGACAUUAGUCCAAGGUGGUGGGUUCUACCAGUGUCAUUACAUUAGUCCAAGGUGGUGGGUUCUACCAGUGUCACUACAUUAGUCCAAGGUGGUGGGUUCUACUAGUGACAUUAGUCCAAGGUGGUGGGUUCUACCAGUGUCAUUACAUUAGUCCAAGGUGGUGGGUUCUACCAGUGUCACUACAUUAGUCCAAGGUGGUGGGUUCUACUAGUGCCAUUACUCUAGUCCAAGGUGGUGGGUUCUACUAGUGCCAUUACUCUAGUCCAAGGUGGUGGGUUCUACUAGUGCCAUUACUCUAGUCCAAGGUGGUGGGUUCUACUAGUGCCAUUACUCUAAGGUGGUGAGGUAGGUUCAUGUGUUGAAUUAGCAGCUCAUCCCUCAGGCCUGACCAUCUCUGCAUUGGUCCAACCAGGAAACACUAUCUGAUCUGGCAGCCAUUUUGUGUGACUGUGUGCUUCUAUUAGAGUGAUGAUUCGCCCACGGAACUGGAGAGUGGGACACGCAGGGGUUUCCUGAAAUUGGCCGCAUUCCUCACAUACCUCCUCUCAGACAAAGGCAGAAGUGGCUCUGAUCUACCUUUGAACACCAGGCCUCUGGCAGAGACGGGCUCCUCUUGCUUCAUUAGCUGUACAGCCCCACUCUAUAUGCCUAAUGUAUAUCACUGGGUUUCUAUGGGUUCCGUUUUAACAUUGUUUAUAUUUCGGGGUUAUUCCACAAUGUUUUGGGAAACAAUUACAUUAUUCACUGGUUCUUACUUACGCAAGCCGACACACUUUGAGCAAUAAUAUACAUACAACCUAUUGAAGGCAGAGAACUGAGACAAUUCCAAUUCACACAUGAGUAUAAUACACACUUGUACAUGUGUGAAAUAAGACAAAUAUAAGCACCCAGCUAAUUAUUAUCAUUGUUAUAGGAUGGACCAGCUAGGAAAUCUAGGAAACACAUUCUUAAUUAAAAAUACAUAUUCUAAUCUCAUUAUAUUAAAGGCCCAGUGCAGUCAAAAUGUGAUAUCCCUGUGUUUUAUGUAUAUUUCUACACUGAGGUUGGAAUAGUACUGUGAAAUUGUGAAAAUGAUGAUAAUGCCCUUUUAGUGUAAGAGCUGUUUGAAAAGACCAACUGAAAUGUCAGCCUGUUUUGGUGGGGUGGAGUUUUGGCCUGCCUGAUGACAUCACCAGGUGGUAAAUGAGUUAAUAAACCAAUAAGGAGUUCCAAACCUCUCGGCCAAUAACAGCCAGUUUUCUGUUUUCCCCUCCCCACUCAGACCACUCCCAGAUAGUCCUAGCAUAAUUCUUGCUUUAGAAAUUACUCCUUGCAAAGAAGAUAUUUUUGUUUCUUUUUGAAAACAAUCACAUUAAGGUACUUCAUUGUUACCCAGAAAUUAUUUGAUAUUGAGAUAAAAAAAAAUGGCAGGA